rnacentral:rRNA from 1 species
GACGUAGGGCGCGACGUUGUCCGGAUUUAUUGGGCGUAAAGAGCUCGUAGGCGGCUUGUUGCGUCGGCUGUGAAAUCCCGUGGCUUAACUGCGGGCUUGCAGCUGAUACGGGCGGGCUGGAGUUCGGUAGGGGAGACUGGAAUUCCUGGUGUAGCGGUGAAAUGCGCAGAUAUCAGGAGGAACACCGGUGGCGAAGGCGGGUCUCUGGGCCGAUACUGACGUGAGGAGCGAAAGCGUGGGGAGCGAACGG